rnacentral:rRNA from 1 species
CGGCGGACGGGUGAGUAACGCGUGGGUAACCUGCCCCUCAGCCCGGGAUAACCGUCGGAAACGAUGGCUAAUACCGGAUGCUGUAUACAUAUCGCAUGAUGUGUAUACGAAAGUUCAGGCGCUGAGGGAUGGGCCCGCGUCCCAUUAGCUAGUUGGUGAGGUAACGGCUCACCAAGGCGACGAUGGGUAGCCGGCCUGAGAGGGUGACCGGCCACACUGGGACUGAGACACGGCCCAGACUCCUACGGGAGGCAGCAGUCGGGGAUCUUCCACAAUGGGCGAAAGCCUGAUGGAGCGACGCCGCGUGAGGGAUGAAGGUCUUCGGAUCGUAAACCUCUGUCUUCCGGGACGACAAUGACGGUACCGGAGGAGGAAGCCACGGCUAACUACGUGCCAGCAGCCGCGGUAAUACGUAGGUGGCGAGCGUUGUCCGGAAUUACUGGGCGUAAA